rnacentral:rRNA from 1 species
AUUGAACGCUAGCGGCAAGCCUAACACAUGCAAGUCGAACGAGUGGCGGACGGGUGAGUAAUGUAUGGGAAACUGCCCGAUAGAGGGGGAUAACUACUGGAAACGGUGGCUAAUACCGCAUACCAUCGGAUGUGCCCCUAUGGGAUUAGCUAGUUGGUGGGGUAACGGCUCACCAAGGCAACGAUCCCUAGCUGGUUUGAGAGGAUGACCAGCCACACUGGGACUGAGACACGGCCCAGACUCCUACGGGAGGCAGCAGUGGGGAAUAUUGGACAAUGGGCGCAACCCUGAUGCAGCCAUGCCGCGUGUAUGAAGAAGGCCUUCGGGUUGUAAAGUACUUUCAGCGGGGAGGCGGUACCCGCAGAAGAAGCACCGGCUAACUCCGUGCCAGCAGCCGCGGUAAUUC